rnacentral:lncRNA from 1 species
CGAAGGGGGAGCAGUGCCGACCGGAGAAGGAGCGCCGAAGGGGGAGCGACGCUGACCGGAGGAGGAGGGCCGAACGGAGAGCAACGCUGACCGGAAACGUACCUGGAGUCGCCGGAGUGAGGAGUCGCCGGAGAGAUGGAAGACACGCCGGAAACGGAAGAACGAAGCUUCAGCCGAGAGGAGCGACGACGAGCACGCACGAAGAGUUCUUCGCUUUGUUCCGAAUUUGUUC